AUGAACGCUGGCGGCGUGCUUUACACAUGCAAGUUGAGCGAGGCGGCCCGCAAGGGCCAGUCGAGCGGCGAACGGGUGAGUAACGCGUGGAUUAUCUGCCCUGAGGUGGGGAACAACCAGGGGAAACUCUGGCUAAUACCGCAUGAUACCGAGAGGUCAAAGGGGGCUCGCAAGGGCUCUCGCCACAGGAGGAGUCCGCGUUCGAUUAGCUAGUUGGUAGGGUAAUGGCCUACCAAGGCGACGAUCGAUAGCCGGCCUGAGAGGGUGAUCGGCCACACUGGAACUGAGACACGGUCCAGACUCCUACGGGAGGCAGCAGUGGGGAAUUUGCGCAAUGGGCUAACGCCUGACGCAGCAACGCCGCGUGGAGGAUGAAGGUCUUUGGAUUGUAAACUCCUGUCGGCAGGGAAAAGCGACACGACCUAAUACGUCGAGGAGUUGAUUGUACCUGCGGAGGAAGCCCGGCUAACUCUGUGCCAGCAGCCGCCGCU
rnacentral:rRNA from 1 species